AGGUCCGUUUGGACCGCUAGGAGAUGAGGAUGCGGCGUAUUAGCUAGUAGGUGAGGUAAUGGCUCACCUAGGCGAUGAUACGUAGCCGAACUGAGAGGUUGAUCGGCCACAUUGGGACUGAGAUACGGCCCAGACUCCUACGGGAGGCAGCAGUAGGGAAUUUUUCACAAUGGGCGAAAGCCUGAUGAAGCAGAUGCCGCGUGAGUGAUGAAGGUCUUCGGAUUGUAAAGCUCUGUUGUAAGGGAAGAAAUGCUAGUAGAGGAAAUGCUACUAGCUUGACGGUACCUUACCAGAAAGCCACGGCUAACUAUGUGCCAGCAGCCGCGGUAAUACAUAG
rnacentral:rRNA from 1 species